rnacentral:rRNA from 1 species
UACGAGGGGGGCAAGCGUUGUUCGGAAUUAUUGGGCGUAAAGGGCGCGUAGGCGGUGCGGUAAGUCUGUUGUGAAAUCUCCGGGCUCAACUCGGAGCUUGCAUCAGAAACUGCCGUGCUUGAGUGUGGGAGAGGUGAGUGGAAUUCCCGGUGUAGCGGUGAAAUGCGUAGAGAUGUGGAGGAAUACCGAUGGCGAAGGCAGCCCCCUGGGACGUCACUGACGCUCAUGCACGAAAGCGUGGGGAGCAAACAGG